CCUACGGGAGGCAGCAGUGAGGAAUAUUGGUCAAUGGACGAGAGUCUGAACCAGCCAAGUAGCGUGAAGGAUGACUGCCCUAUGGGUUGUAAACUUCUUUUAUAUGGGAAUAAAAUGUUCCACGUGUGGGCUUUUGUAUGUACCCUAUGAAUAAGGAUCGGCUAACUCCGUGCCAGCAGCCGCGGUAAUACGGAGGAUCCGAGCGUUAUCCGGAUUUAUUGGGUUUAAAGGGAGCGUAGGUGGAUUGUUAAGUCAGUUGUGAAAGUUUGCGGCUCAACCGUAAAAUUGCAGUUGAAACUGGCAGUCUUGAGUACAGUAGAGGUGGGCGGAAUUCGUGGUGUAGCGGUGAAAUGCUUAGAUAUCACGAAGAACUCCGAUUGCGAAGGCAGCUCACUGGACUGCAACUGACACUGAGGCUCGAAAGUGUGGGUAUCAAACAGGAUCAGAUACCCGAGUAGUC
rnacentral:rRNA from 1 species